rnacentral:rRNA from 1 species
GACGAACGCUGGCGGCGUGCUUAACACAUGCAAGUCGAACGAGAGCGUAGAGAAAGCUUGCUUUUUCUACAAUCUAGUGGCAAACGGGUGAGUAACGCGUAAACAACCUGCCCUACGGAUGGGGACAACAGCUGGAAACGGCUGCUAAUACCGAAUACGUUCCGAAAGUCGCAUGACUAUCGGAAGAAAGGAUGGCCUCUAUUUAUAAGCUAUCGCCGGAGGAGGGGUUUGCGUCUGAUUAGCUAGUUGGAGGGGUAACGGCCCACCAAGGCGACGAUCAGUAGCCGGUCUGAGAGGAUGAACGGCCACAUUGGAACUGAGACACGGUCCAGACUCCUACGGGAGGCAGCAGUGGGGAAUCUUCCGCAAUGGGCGAAAGCCUGACGGAGCAACGCUGCGGGAGUGAAGACGGCCUUCGGGUUGUAAAGCUCUGUUAUACGGGACGAAUAAUCUUGUGGUUAAUACCCAUGAGAAGUGACGGUACCGUAAGAGAAAGCCACGGCUAACUACGUG